rfam:Anabaena sp. 90 chromosome chANA02, complete sequence.
GUCAGUAACCCAGCCCUAAAGGGACUGAGCUUGCAAGAGUAAUCAGGCAAGCUGUGCUGACCAGACCACCUUGAGCUUAGUCUCAUGGUAGCCGUUAUUUAAGUCACGACACCCCGGAAUGCGUAGCCCCUUCGGGGUUCAGCAGUCGCUCAUGGGGGAAACCCCCAAGACCGCGCUGCUUCACUAGUUCCCUGCUCUGUCACUUGCAAUUAAACAGUUUUAAGGUCACUGAAACAGUGUUGCAAGUCUAAAAAGCUUUUAUAACUGGUCGUUCGCGCAGCGUGCCGGAGGCAUCUAGCUAACAUUAC